ACGAACGCUAGCGGGAUGCCUCAAACAUGCAAGUCGUACGCGAAAGUUUCUUCGGAAAUGAGUAGAGUGGCGCACGGGUGCGUAACACGUAGCUAACAUACCUUUUCGCUGGGGAUAACUCCGGGAAACCGGAGCUAAUACCGAAUGAGCUGCCUUGGUCUGCGGACUAAGUCGGCAAAGCCGUAAGGCGCGAGAAGAUUGGGCUGCGCCCCAUUAGUUUGUUGGUGAGGUAAUGGCUCACCAAGACUACGAUGGGUAGCUGGUCUGAGAGGAUGAUCAGCCACACUGGAACUGGAACACGGUCCAGACUCCCACGGGAGGCAGCAGUUGGGAAUAUUGGACAAUGGGGGAAACCCUGAUCCAGCAAUCCCGCGUGAGGGACGAAGGCUUUCGGGUCGUAAACCUCUUUCAGUAGGGACGAAGGGAAACUUGACGGUACCUACAGAAGAAGCACCGGCUAACUACGU
rnacentral:rRNA from 1 species